rnacentral:rRNA from 1 species
CCUACGGGGGGCUGCAGUGAGGAAUAUUGGUCAAUGGACGCAAGCCUGAACCAGCCAUGCCGCGUGCAGGAAGACGGCUCUAUGAGUUGUAAACUGCUUUUGUACGAGGGUAAACGCAGAUACGCGUAUCUGUCUGAAAGUAUCGUACGAAUAAGGAUCGGCUAACUCCGUGCCAGCAGCCGCGGUAAUACGGAGGAUUCAAGCGUUAUCCGGAUUUAUUGGGUUUAAAGGGUGCGUAGGCGGUCGGUUAAGUUAGAGGUGAAAUGCCGAGGCUCAACUUCGGAAUUGCCGUUGAUACUGUGCGGCUAGAGAGUAGUUGAGGUAGGCGGAAUGUAUGGUGUAGCGGUGAAAUGCUUAGAGAUCAUACAGAACACCGAUUGCGAAGGCAGCUUACCAAGCUACUACUGACGUUGAGGCACGAAAGCGUGGGGAGCAAACAGGAUUAGAUACCCGAGUAGUC